rnacentral:rRNA from 1 species
UACGGAGGAUGCGAGCGUUAUCCGGAUUUAUUGGGUUUAAAGGGUGCGUAGGCGGCCGAGUAAGUCAGCGGUGAAAUUUUGCAGCUUAACUGUAACAGUGCCGUUGAUACUGCAUGGCUAGGAUUUGGUUGCUGUGGGUGGAAUGUGUGGUGUAGCGGUGAAAUGCUUAGAUGUCACACAGAAUAUCAAUUGCGAAGGCAGCUCACAAAGCCAAGAUUGACGCUGAGGCACGAAAGUGUGGGGAUCAAA